UGGUCUAAAGGUUUUGGAGAGAAAGUGACUGCAUGUUGGCAAUGUAGUACACCAGUGUUUCAUGGUUUUUGAAAUCUGAAUUCUUUAAAUGAUAGGUUUGAUUUCUAAUGGAUUGUGGAAAUUUAUUGUCACUCUAUAGAUGUGAGAAUCUCUGAUACCAGCUAAUGUUUUCAUUUCUUUCUUUGUUGAUUUCAAAUAGAUCAGAGGUUGGAUUUAUGCAAACUUGGGCCAAAGGACAGUUAGAAGACAUAAGUCUUCAGUCCAGAGACCAAAUUGGCACAGGAGGACAAGUUGUGGACUGCAGUCGUUUAGUUGAUAAUGAUUUACCAGACAAGUAAGGGUGAUGACAACUCCAUGAGGGUGGAGAUUAUACGUCUCUCAUCAUUUAAGCAACAAGGAAAUAAAUUAGUGGCAGAGUAAGGGGUGACUUGAGAUCUCCUGGAAGCCAGGAUCCUUUAAAAAUCCUGGAAUAGGGAGGAGCCAAGAUGGCCGAAUAGGAAGAGCUCCGUCCUACGGCUCCCAGCAUAAGCGACACAGAAGACGGGUGAUUUCUGCAUUUCCAUCUGAGGUUCUGGAGGAGGUCAAUGAAGUUCUGCUUGACCUCUAUGUCCAGGGAGUCCUUCAUCUCUGCCAGGUGCUUCAUGGACUCACUGGCAUCGAGCAGUGCGUCACUGAAGUUGGACUCGUUGCCCAGCUCCUCCUGGUGGCGGAUCAGGCCCUCGCUCAGGAACCCCUCCGACUGCGGGUAGCCGGGGUUCUUCACCUGGCCCCGGAUCUUGCACACCGUGUUGAGCAUGGUCAGCUUAGCCUGCGAGGCUGGGUUGGGCUGCAGGUACUUGAUGGUCCUUGCCAGCAUUUCCGUCACCGCCUUGCUGAUGACAUCUCCAUCUCUUUGAAGUCAUCGUCCAACUUGGUCCCGUCAGCCCCUCCGACCUUCUCACUGACCAGCUGGCUCGCCUUGUAGAACUGCUUCUUCAGCCCUGCAACCGACAUGCUGCCUCCCACCGCCGAACCUCCCGCCCGGACUCCACCAGCGACAGGCUCCCAGGUGCUGUGACCCUCUGCGUGCCUCAGAGGCCCCACCACGUGCUUGCCAGCUCUGCACCUGCCCUGGCACCACCUCGAGUUUAUGAUUCUUUAGUCUCCUUCAAUAUAGAUCUGUUCCCAGGAUUGUUUUAAAGUAUACUGACAAAACUUUGAGACUGUACAUGACCUGAGAUAUACAUUAUCCUUACUUGAGAAUAGUAAUUUUUCAAUACACAUUAAAGAUCAUUACACAUGAGCCAAGACAAAUGAGCUGGCCUACUUACUUUGUAUACAAAUGUGUAAACUCCUCAAGAGUUCCAAUAAUGAACUCCAAUAAGGAAAUUAGUUCAGUGUCUUUAUGUCCUUGGUGACAAAUGGUUACGGACAAUCAGAGCAUUUUUCCUAUCCACUAAUGGUCAAGAAAAAAGCAGACAGAUCCUCACUAUCUUAGAGAACUAAGUGAGAAAGUUGGUCGAUGAAGAGGACUUCAUCCAGAGAGGAAGGGAUCUAGCUCACAGGGAAGAUGCUGCAGGAGGCUGAGGAAAGUGAGGCCAGAGCAGUAAAACAGAUCUGACAACCUGGUGAAGAUAAGAAAGUGACCUGACAAAAAUGAACGGAGCAGAGUGCUAAAAAAUGAAGGGCCCUUUCCAUGCUAAUCUUGCAUGAUGCCCUCAACCAGCC
ensembl:lncRNA